AGCAGUGUGGCCUAAUGGAAAAAGCACUGGGUCUGGGAGUCCGAAGGACCUGGGUUCUAAUCCCUGCUCGGCCA
rnacentral:tRNA from 1 species